rnacentral:tRNA from 1 species
AUUUAUAUAGUUUUAAAAAAACAUUACAUUUUCACUGUAAAAAUAAUAAAUAAUAUUUAUAAAUA